AAUGCUUGGGAACAUGCCUUGAGGUGGGGGACAACAGUUGGAAACGACUGCUAAUACCGCAUAAUGUCUACGGACCAAAGGGGGCUUCGGCUCUCGCCUUUAGAUUGGCCCAAGUGGGAUUAGCUAGUUGGUGAGGUAAUGGCUCACCAAGGCAACGAUCCCUAGCUGGUUUGAGAGGAUGAUCAGCCACACUGGAACUGAGACACGGUCCAGACUCCUACGGGAGGCAGCAGUGGGGAAUAUUGCACAAUGGGCGAAAGCCUGAUGCAGCCAUGCCGCGUGUGUGAAGAAGGCCUUCGGGUUGUAAAGCACUUUCAGUCAGGAGGAAAGGGUGUGAGUUAAUACCUCAUAUCUGUGACGUUACUGACAGAAGAAGCACCGGCUAACUCCGUGCCAGCAGCCGCGGUAAUACGGAGGGUGCGAGCGUUAAUCGGAAUUACUGGNCGNAAAGCGUACGCAGGCGGUUUGUUAAGCGAGAUGUGAAAAGCCCCGGGCUCAACCUGGGAACUGCAUUUCGAACUGGNNAAACUAGAGUGUGAUAGAGGGUGGUAGAAUUUCAGGUGUAGCGGUGAANUGCGUAGAGAUCUGAAGGAAUACCGAUGGCGAAGGNNNCCACCUGGGNCAACACUGACGCUCAUG
rnacentral:rRNA from 1 species